UUGGCCCUACGGGGGGCAGCAGUGGGGAAUAUUGCACAAUGGGCGAAAGCCUGAUGCAGCAACGCCGCGUGAAGGAAGACGGUUUUCGGAUUGUAAACUUCUAUCAAUAGGGAAGAAAGAAAUGACGGUACCUAAAUAAGAAGCCCCGGCUAACUACGUGCCAGCAGCCGCGGUAAUACGUAGGAGGCAAGCGUUAUCCGGAUUUACUGGGAGUAAAGGGAGAGUAGGCGGCAAGGCAAGCGAUAUGUGAAAGCCUUAAGCUUAACUUAAGGAUUGCAUAA
rnacentral:rRNA from 1 species